AGGACGGACGCUGGCGGCGUGCUUAACACAUGCAAGUGGAGCGACGAACCGGGGCUUGCCCCGGGGCAGAGCCGCGAACGGGUGAGUAACACGUGGGUUACCUACCCCAAUGACCGGGACAACCCGAGGAAACUCGGGCUAAUACCGGAUGUGGUCUUCGGACGAAAGGAAGCUUCGGCCUCCGCAUUGGGAUGGGCCCGCGGCGCAUUAGCUUGUUGGUGGGGUAACGGCCUACCAAGGCGACGAUGCGUAGCUGGUCUGAGAGGACGAUCAGCCACACUGGGACUGAGACACGGCCCAGACUCCUACGGGAGGCAGCAGUCGAGAAUAAUUCACAAUGGGGGCAACCCUGAUGGUGCAACGCCGCGUGGAGGAUGACGGUCUUCGGAUUGUAAACUCCUGUCAUCGGGGAGUAAGACCUGGCUGUUAAUAGCAGACAGGGUUGAUAGUACCCGAAGAGGAAGGGACGGCUAACUUCGUGCCAGCAGCCGC
rnacentral:rRNA from 1 species